rnacentral:rRNA from 1 species
UUGACCUCGGAUCAGGUAGGGAUACCCGCUGAACUUAAGCAUAUCAAUAAGCGGAGGAAAAGAAACCAACCGGGAUUGCCUCAGUAACGGCGAGUGAAGCGGCAAGAGCUCAAAUUUGAAAGCUGGCCCCUCCGGGGUCCGCGUUGUAAUUUGCAGAGGAUGCUUCGGGAGCGGCCCCCAUCUAAGUGCCCUGGAACGGGCCGUCAUAGAGGGUGAGAAUCCCGUCUGGGAUGGGGUGCCCGCGCCCGUGUGAAGCUCCUUCGACGAGUCGAGUUGUUUGGGAAUGCAGCUCUAAAUGGGUGGUAAAUUUCAUCUAAAGCUAAAUAUUGGCCGGAGACCGAUAGCGCACAAGUAGAGUGAUCGAAAGAUGAAAAGCACUUUGAAAAGAGAGUUAAACAGCACGUGAAAUUGUUGAAAGGGAAGCGCUUGCGACCAGACUCGCCCGCGGGGUUCAGCCGGCACUCGUGCCGGUGUACUUCCCCGCGGGCGGGCCAGCGUCGGUUUGGGCGGCCGGUCAAAGGCCCUCGGAAUGUAACGCCCCCCGGGGCGUCUUAUAGCCGAGGGUGCCAUGCGGCCAGCCCGGACCGAGGAACGCGCUCCGGCUCGGACGCUGGCAUAAUGGUCGUAAGCGACC